rnacentral:rRNA from 1 species
GGAUCCAGACUUUGAUUCUGGCUCAUGAUGAACGCUAGCGGCAGGCUUAACACAUGCAAGUCGAGGGGCAGCGCGGGAUAGCAAUAUCCUGGCGGCGACCGGCGGAAGGGUGCGUAACGCGUGAGCGACAUGCCCGUUGCCCGGGGACAACCGGUGGAAACGCCGACUAAUCCCCGAUGGGAUACGAUGCUGCAUGGCAUUGUAUUGAAAGUUACGGCGGCGACGGAUUGGCUCGCGUCCGAUUAGCUGGUUGGCGGGGUAACGGCCCACCAAGGCUACGAUCGGUAGGGGUUCUGAGAGGAAGGCCCCCCACAAUGGGACUGAGACACGGCCCAUACUCCUACGGGAGGCAGCAGUGAGGAAUAUUGGUCAAUGGGCGGAAGCCUGAACCAGCCAUGCCGCGUGCGGGAAGGAGGCCCUAUGGGCUGUGAACCGCUUUUGCCUGGGGGCAAUAAGGGCGUCGCGCACGUCCGAUGAGAGUACCAGGCGAAUAAGCAUCGGCUAACUCCGUGCCAGCAGCCGCGGUAAUACGGGGGAUGCGAGCGUUAUCCGGAUUCAUUGGGUUUAAAGGGUGCGUAGGCUGUGCGUCAAGUCGGGGGUGAAAUUCCGGUGCUCAACACCGGGGCUGCCCUUGAUACUGUCGCGCUGGAGUGCGGAUGCCGCCGGAGGAAUGAGUGGUGUAGCGGUGAAAUGCUUAGAUAUCACUCAGAACACCGAUUGCGAAGGCAUCUGGCGAAUCCGUAACUGACGCUGAGGCACGAAAGCGUGGGGAUAGAACAGGAUUAGAUACCCUGUAUUCCACGCCGUAAACGAUGAUGGCUAACCGCCGGCGACACACUGUCGGUGGCCAAGCGAAAGCGAUAAGCCAUCCACCUGGGGAGUACGUCGGCAACGAUGCAACUCAAAGGAAUUGACG